AAAAUCCGUCGACUUUAAAAAUCGUGAGG
rnacentral:tRNA from 30 species